CGGCAGCGGUUCGUUGGCUGGUGUGGCCAUAUAACCUACUUGUAAGCCAAGUUCUUGUCUGCGGGCCUCUGCCUGGCCCUAAAUAUGUGUUCUCGAAUCUUAGUGACCAAGUGAUCGCCAAGGCCGCAUCAGACAAGGGUGGGGGGUCGGUGCCUUUGUCUACAACGGAAGAUGGCGACGGGCAGGGUGUGAGAAGAUGGCCGCCAGGGUCACAUGUUUUGCUGAGUAUACCCACCUGAAAUGACUAGGAGAGUGAACUCCCUGAGACUAGGGGCCAUAUAUCUUCGCGCCCUCAGCAGGACCCAGCACAAGACUGGUACAAGGCACGCUUCAGCAAAUGUUUGUUAAAUGGUUCCCAGGUGGUGGUGGUGAUGAUGAUGAUGAUGAUGAUGAAGAAGAAGAAGAUGAUGAUGAUGAUGAUGAAGCUGCUGCUGCUGCUAGUCCAGGUUUUAAUCCAUUUAGAAUCCAUGCUCAUAUGUGGUGAUAGGUUUUCUGUAUUCUUACUGGGUUUUUGUUGCUGUUGUUGUUCAUUUGAUCUGUCCUGGAAUAAGAAAGUAUUAAACAAGACUUCCAGUUCUAUGUUAAACAGUAGUUGGUGAGAGUGCAAAAAAUCAAAUUCCAGUCUGCCUGCCUCCAAGGCCUACAUGUUUGACCACCAUGCCACACUGCUCCAGUGAAGACUCACUCACAGACUGAUGGAAGACUGCUGAACCAAGAAAAAUGAUCUUAUCUCAUGCUUCAGUGACAAAAUAAAAGCCAUCAGACAUGGGAGAAUUGUUCCAGGACCUUCAUCUUCCCACCACUGAAUCCCUAAACCUCCCAGUAUCUGUGUUGAUCUUUUGUUUCAUUCCUUCCUGUUACAAUGAAGGGCCUGAGGACCUCUCCUUCUCUCUGAGGCCCAGUGCCCCAGACCCCAGCCCCUCCUUUCCCUUCCAUUAUUCCCUUUCUCUUCUGUGUUCCCGUCCAGUCCCUCUCUAUGGUCUCUGGGUCUUUCCCAGCAGCAAACAAGCAAAGUCUAGUAUCUCCAAUCUUAGAAAAAUCAUUCUUUGCCCCACCUCCUACCAUCACCUUAGCUCUCUGGGCUCUGUUCCCAUUCACAGCCAUGUUUCACAAGGAAAUUGCCUACACACCUAGCUCCACUUUAGCAGGAUAGGGGGCAGUGUUUUAUUCCCUCUGACCUCAGGGAGGGUCCUGUAACAAUCUACCCUCCCACCAGCACUCUAUCCAAUUAUUCCUGCUUUUCAAAUUUUAUUUUUCAUGAUAAUACAUUAUAAAUUUUAUAAUAUACAUAUCUGUACAGUUUGAAUAAAUUAUAAAACAAAUACCUAUGUACCUGUACCCAUCACCCAGCUUCAAAAACAAAUCAUUUCUGAAUGACAAAACCUGCCAUGUAGCCCUCCCCAGUCACAUCUCCUUCCCCUCCCUGAGGUAACCAGUGUCAUUUUUCAUGCCUUGCUUUUUUGUAUGGUUUUACAACGUAUUACUGCAUCCAUAUAUUGUAUAAUUUUGAAUGUUCAACUUUAUAUAAACAUAUUCUUUCAUGA